rnacentral:tRNA from 6 species
CGGGGUGUAGCUUAGCCUGGUAGAGCGCCUGCUUUGGGAGCAGGAGGUCGAGAGUUCGAAUCUCUCCGCCCCGACCA